CGAAAUUUGGUCAAUUCAUUGAGUGAAACACUCAGCAAACACCGUGCAAAAGGACGGACACACACAAAAAGAUAUUUAAAGAACCUGUAUAGGUUACUGGGUCUUAGAACCAAACUUCUUUAGAAAUGGAAGACAUCAGAACAGGGCUUGUUCCCGUCUUCAUUAUGUGGAUCUGUUUUAUUAGGAAUGGUCAAACAAUGUUUCAGCCCCAUCCAAAAUGCGAACAAAUUUCGGUUGCUAUGUGUAAGGACUUAUCGUACAAUUAUACGGUCAUGCCAAAUUCAUUAGGUCAUCAGAAACAAAUAGACGCUGGAUUAGAAGUAUCGCAGUUUUUCCCCAUUGUCGAAACCCAAUGCAGUCCUCAAUUAAAUUUUUUCUUAUGUUCGUUGUAUUUACCGAUGUGUUCAGCAGAGGGAAAACCGAUUCCGCCUUGUCGCUCCAUAUGCAACGCGACACGAACUGGAUGCGAACCACUGAUGAACAAAUUCGGAUUUCAAUGGCCGCAGAGGUUAGUUUGUGAAAAUUUUUCAAUAAAUCGUACUUGCGCUCGAGAAAAUAUGCCUCAUUCUCAAGAAAUUGCCACACAUCCUCCAACAAUCAAACAAAGACCCACAAGUUAUAAAAGUUCUGCCAGUAUGAGCCUGCAGACAUUGUCCCAGCCAUAUGCAAAAUGCCAAGUGAUUUCGGUAGACAUGUGCGAAGACAUGCCCUACAAUUAUACAAUAUUGCCAAAUACUUUAAAUCUUCAAAGCCAAGAUGACGCGGAUUUACAGCUGUUAACAUUCGUUCCUCUAAUACAAUCUGGAUGCAGUCCUAAGCUUAAGUUUCUUUUAUGCGCAUCGUAUUUACCAAUGUGCACAGAACAAGGAGAAACUAUUCAACCCUGUCGCUCUAUAUGUAACGAAGUUAGAAACGAUUGUGCACCAAUAUUGGAGAGGUUCGGAUUUCUGUGGCCAGAGAGUUUAGCAUGUGAAAAACUUCCUGAGAGUGGUACAUGCUCUCAAGAAUCUAUGCCUGAUCAAAUAGAAUCAAACAACCAUCCUUCAGUAAAAGAGGGUAAAUAUAAUAUUUUCUUUUAUAUCUUUGUAUGAAGAGAGAAAGACAAGACAAAAAUUCUUUAAUUAAAUAUACAGGCAUUUUGUGAAAUUUUAUCUGUACAAAUUUAGAUUUCGGUUGCUAUAGAUUUUAUCUAUAUAAAUUUAAUUUAACAAAAAUAUCAUAAAAAAGCUUACAUGUAAGCAUGUUCAUGCAGGAAGCUUAAACACCUUUUUUCUCUAUUCAAAUUCUGAGCAAGGUGUAAAAGAAAAGUAUUGAAAAAGAUAAAACGAAUACAUGGUCAACUAUUUCCUUUGUUGAUAAAGUCAGCUUCACAGUUUCUAUUUUUUUCUAUUUUCCAUUUGUUUUAAUAUCCUACGGAUAUACAAAUUGUAUUGGUAAUGAUCAUGAUGAUAAUCAUAAAAACUUACAUGUAAGUAGCAAACAGAGGUAUUAGAUUAUAUUCAGUGAUUAUAAUUGAUACUACAGUCAUUACGUAUACGUCGUUCUCUAUUCGUUAAUUUACGUACAUUGGCACAUUGAAAUUUUAAAAUAUUUAUGAACGGGUAUUUUUGAAGCUGUUGUUACCGGUUCGAAUGUUAAUAUCCGUAGCAGUCUCCAAUGUAUACGUUGCCUGUUACUUUACUACAAAGGUCGAAAUUCGGUUAAUUUUUUGAACGUACAAUUUAUGGUGAGAUUAUGGAACAGUUUGAUGAUUUAAAAUUGCAACAUAUCAGUAAGUAUCAUUAACAUUUGGAGGUAAGGUAUUUUUUUUAAUGUGAAAAAUGCUGAAAAAUUCACUUUUUGUGAAAAUAGAGGAUUCAUUCCUGUGCAAAUCGAAAUACUUCCUCAAAAUACAUCAAUAUUUGAUUUGAAACUUAUCUCUUUUGUUUACAAAGAAAUGUUGAAAAAUAUUUCCCAGAAGUGUCCGUGAAUGCAUAUGCGACUGCAAAUGAUUAAGUUAUAAGAUAGACAAACUGCAAACUUCAAGAAUUCACUUCCACAAAUUUUGAUGAAAAAAUGGGAAAAUGUUAACAGCAAGUAUGAUGCUGUAUUAAAGUUAUAUCAACGGUAAACAGUGGCACUGUUUCAAUCGAACGUGUUUAAAUGGUUGUGGAGCACAGAUUCUUUGUACAGAAGGUUGUAUUCUGCGAAGUUUGAUAUUAAGUGUAAGGAUGAUAUAGAGUGCAUUGCUCAGUCAUAAACAACCGCCCAAUGCCGGGGAGGCUGCUGUCCUGUUUGAGAGGACCUCCUAUCUGAUAAAGAUAUUUUAGAGAUAAAUGCAAUGAGAAAUGUAGCACAGUUUGCAAGAAAACACGCGGCUGUGACCACUUGACUGUUUUCUGUACAGAGUAGGCAAGGCUGACUGGCAAAGCAGGUCUGUAAUUAUGAUAAUUGAAUUUCGAUAAUACUUACUGUUUUUAGACCCUGUUGAAACUUUUGAUUUUGGUAUAUUUCUAUUUCUAACCUUUGAUGAAUGAUAGUAAAAAAAUAUUCAAGUUAAUAAAAGGUUGCAUUGUCUUUUGUGUGCAAUAAUAAAGAUUAUUUUAUCCCGAUUUGAUUAAUCUUUGUCUAUAUGUAAAAGUAUUACCGUUUCUGAAGUAACGUUUUAAAGGAAAUAAUUUUACAUAUAGUUCUAUUUUGUUUGUGGUUAAAGCUGUGGCAGUAUGAUACUUUUCAGCAAGUGGUAAUCAUGUGACUGUUAUGAUUUAAUAAGUUAUUAUAUGUCAUUUUUACAGCUGUGCAGAGAUGGAGCAGAACACAGCAAAAUUUUAUGAGAGUCACCAAUUAAAAUAUAACUUACAAAAAUAUUUUUAAGACUGGCGGUAAUGAUAAGUUAAAAGCCAAGAGCUUGGUAAAAGAAAGGAAACUUCUGCAUUAUUUGUUAUUAAAUGAAACAAACCAAAGGAUACUUUAAACUUCCGUUCUUAUUUGGGGGAUACGGUGGGGAAGGGGGUGGGGUCGGGCUAUGCAAUGACCAUUACAUGUAUUUCGUCCCCCCCAAAAAAGCCGUUCAUUUGACCACACUUUAACCUUUGAAAAAUCAUAUUUAUAUUAAUUUUGACUUUAACACUUAAUGAAAAAUGAUUUUCUUUUGCAAUCUCAAUUUUCAUUUUCUUUGCAGGUAAAUGCAUAAAUUAUAAAGGUGAUACGCAAAUAAAUAGCUGACCACUCUUAAUCUGCUUACUAGUACAUAUAUUUAUCUUUAAUGAUAGAAGGCGCCAAAUGCGUUCACUGGAGCAAUUUAUAAUUAGUUAUUUUUUUAUUUUAUUUAUUUUUAUUCCGUAAAAGCCAUUUUAAUUUUGAGAAGGAAAAAGUUUCCUUUAAUUUUUUCCGUUUUUAUAACCGAAGGACAAGAAAGACCUUACAAUUACAUCUUCUCUGACCCUUUCCACAAGUUCGGAAAAAAACCUCGAAUGUUUGUUAUUUUUUUUCUAAAAAAAAUGGAGUAGCUUCCUAUUAUUCGGAUAUUGGAUAGACAGAGUUGAGUGUCCCUUCUAUAGUAUAUUUUAGAUAAUAUCUUUACAUUCAAUGAAGUUUAGCUCUAGACUCCAAAGAUAAGAGGCUUCCUAUAAUUGUUUUAAAUUUAUGAAAAAGGGGGGAUGUCUUGGAUGCAUACGUAAGGCAUUUAAGGUUGUUUUCCCUGCUUGUAAUAAACGCUCAGGAAGUUGCGUUGGGAGACCUUGAGGUAGACUGCUUCCCUGACUAAAGCGCCCUUAAAAACCAACUUGUAUUUCCUAGAGGCAGUGCUCCUUUGCUAACCCUGACGUACGUGUAAAUAUGAAAGAUUUAUGAUGUUUGAAACCAUUGUCGUAUCGGACUGUUUUGACGGCAAAAAAAUGUACACUGGCAAAAUAAAGGUUAUGACAUAUACCAGUAAUCUAGUUCUAUCUUUGAUAUUAGAAUACUUAUGUGUGGAGUGUUAAAGUCAUAAGAUCGGUGUCAAGAUUUUGUAAAAUUAAUAAGCUAAACGGAAAUAACACACUUGGCUGAAGAUAUAACUAAUUGUUAUGUACUUUAGAUAUAUAUAGUGUCUAUUUUAUGCUAAAAAUGUUCAUGUAUUGCGAAAUUUGCCUGACCAACUUAUCGUGUGAAACUUGUAGGGAUCUCCGCAAAAGGACUGGAAACGCACACAAAAGAUAUUUCAAGUAUCUGAAGUGUUCCAAAUUCCUGGAUAUUUGAACCGAACAGCCUACUUCC